rnacentral:rRNA from 1 species
UACGGAGGGUGCAAACGUUGCUCGGAAUCACUGGGCGUAAAGCGCACGUAGGCGGACUCUUAAGUCGGUGGUGAAAUCCUGGAGCUCAACUCCAGAACUGCCUUCGAUACUGAGAGUCUCGAGUCCGGGAGAGGUGAGUGGAACUGCGAGUGUAGAGGUGAAAUUCGUAGAUAUUCGCAAGAACACCAGUGGCGAAGGCGGCUCACUGGCCCGGUACUGACGCUGAGGUGCGAAAGCGUGGGGAGCAAACAGG